UAGCUUAGUGGUUAAAGCUAUGGAUCGCCAAUCCGGAGACGGCGGGUUUGAUUCCCGU
rnacentral:tRNA from 1 species